AUUGAACGCUGGCGGCAGGCUUAACACAUGCAAGUCGAGCGGUAGCACAGGGGAGCUUGCUCCCUGGGUGACGAGCGGCGGACGGGUGAGUAAUGUCUGGGAAACUGCCUGAUGGAGGGGGAUAACUACUGGAAACGGUAGCUACUACCGCAUAACGUCGCAAGACCAAAGAGGGGGACCUUCGGGCCUCUUGCCAUCAGAUGUGCCCAGAUGGGAUUAGCUAGUAGGUGGGGUAAUGGCUCACCUAGGCGACGAUCCCUAGCUGGUCUGAGAGGAUGACCAGCCACACUGGAACUGAGACACGGUCCAGACUCCUACGGGAGGCAGCAGUGGGGAAUAUUGCACAAUGGGCGCAAGCCUGAUGCAGCCAUGCCGCGUGUGUGAAGAAGGCCUUCGGGUUGUAAAGCACUUUCAGCGAGGAGGAAGGUGGUGAGCUUAAUACGUUCAUCAAUUGACGUUACUCGCAGAAGAAGCACCGGCUAACUCCGUG
rnacentral:rRNA from 1 species